UCUGUUCUUCCAGAGUCCUAUUUUUUGGUAUAAAUAGCCCCGCAAAUGGAUCAGUCAAGUAUCUAUCACCAGCCUUUUCAUCAACUCUUAUCACACAAUCCAGUCCAAGCUUCCAGCUUACAAAACCAACUCCUUCGAAAUGAAUAAGCUCUUUGUCGUCCUCCUCUUGGCCGCUAUUGUCGCCGCUGCCAGCGCGCAAGGCGGAUACUCCAACGUGGGUUAUCUCGGAUAUGGUGCUUAUCCAGCCUACGCCGGGUACGGUUAUGGAGGACUCGCCUACUACAAAAAGUAGAUUUUUUACACACAUCAAUGACAACCUACCCUUUCCAAUUAUUAAAUUGCCAUAUUUUGUGUAUUCAGCGGGAAAUAAGAAUUUUGAAAUUUUAACAAAAUUGAAAUAUAUCUAAGUGAAAUUUGUAAUCAGAAAAUUCCCAUAAUUGUUUAAAACUAGAGCCAUAUAAAAUUUUAAAAUAUUUCGAAACCGUAAAAUUGAAACUUGUAAAGUAGAAAAUUUCCACAGUUUUUUCUAAUUGGAAAAAGAAAUUUUGAAGUUUAUGAUCUGACAAAAAUUGUAUCGGAACGUUUUAUCCCGAAAAAAUUAAAGAAUUAAAAUCGCUUCAUUUUUAAUUCUA